CACACACACACACACACACACACACACACACACACACACACACACACACACACACACACACAAACACACCCUGAUGUUCAGACAGUUAUCUAUAUACUCUACUCAUAUCUGUUCACUUUCAUCCACGUAAUAUGCACACUUGUUCUCUAUUGAGUCAACACCUUUAUAUGUGAUGCUUCCAUUUGAGUCAUUGUCUUCUGCCAGGUUCAUAACAGAACUCUGGCUCCUUUUUCUGGACACAUACAUGGAUAUAUAAUCACUGUUGUUUGUUUGUGUGUGUAUGUGUUUUUUUGUGUUUUUUUGUGUGUGUGUGUGUUUUUGUUUUUUUUUUUGCAUAUAUAGGAACCCAAAUGACCUUUGGUUCGUCGGCACUUGUGCAAAUGUGCUGUGAACAACUGACGAAAACGAAAGUAAAAUCUGCCGCCUCGUCUGAGUCGACAGCAUCGUGCUCUGCAGCGUGUUUCAGACACCGACACAGAUGGUCUCCUUCUGCAGAAACCUUAAGUCCCUCACAGCACCUCAGCUGUCGGAGGAGGUGAACUCUGCCAUGCCUGACCACUCUCACCACUCAUCACCACUUCCUGAUAUUGAGGCUACAGAAACACUCUGUGACAAACUCUGCCCCAGGUGUCGAAACCAGCCAAGAAAAAACAACAACCAAGUCCAUGUCUCUUACAAGUUCUGAGAGAACAAAGAGGCAGCAGAGGCAAAGAGGAAGACUCAGGGCAGCAGAAAGAAAGUGGCGUAAAUCCCAAGAACUCGCUGAUUUGUCCUCAUACAAACAGAAACUUGCUUCCUUUACCUCCCGCUUGCAGUCUGCAAAGAAAGCUUUUUAUCAGAACAAGAUCUGUGCAGCUUCUGAUUCCAGAAAAAUGUUUAUGGCGUUCAACUCCCUGCUUCCUCCUCCAGCUCAACCCAGCCCAGGUUGAAAACUACAGGCCAGUCUCACUUCUACCAUUCUUGUCAAAUACUGGAGCGCUCAGUAUUUAACCAAGUCUCUGAACACCUGCGGAACAACAACCUACUUGACCCUUUUCAGUCAGGCUUCAGAUGCGACCACUCCACCGAGACUGCACUCCUUUCAGUCACACAAUCUCUGCGACUGGCUAGAGCUGCUGGUCAGUCCUCUGUCCUCCUGCUGCUGGACUUGUCUGCUGCCUUUGACACCGUGAACCAUCAAAUCCUCCUCUCCUCACUCUCUGACCUCAGCAUCUCAGGUUCUGUCCUUUUAUGUCUGAUGCGUGUUCCCCUUCCCAAGCCUUAUAGCCGCUGAGAGUGUGAGAUCGGGUCCUUGGGUUCGUAUAUUUGAGACGCGCAAAUAGUUUAACGGGUGCAAAAUACACUCUGAUCCAAAGAUACGUUUUGGUACAUUUAUUGCAGGGCAAAAAGACAGAGCGAUCAGAGCGCAGCAGUGGGAUCACAGUGACAUGAAAACCAGAUAAUUGAACUGUAAAAAUUGGAUGUGGAAAAAUGAAAUGUGGUCAGGAAAAAAAUACAGCUACGCCCGACCCUGACUCUCCAUCUAUGAGCGUGCACCUUUACACACAGCCAUUCUCAUGUGCACACGCCCACUCUAAGUGCAACCCCGCCUUUGUAACACACACACACUCGCCCUUAAACAGUGUACCUCAUUCUGCCUCCUACACCCAUAUUAUAUAGCUUCAUUACACAGACUGAAAUAUUUCAACCCUUUAUUUGUUGAACUGUUUGAAUAUGGCUUAUAGUUAAUGAAAACCCAACAUUCAAUAUCUCAAAAAAACCCAAUAUUACAAAGUUUUCUGAGCCUUUAAAUGAUCGGUCAGGGUCAGUAGAUUACACAGUCAUGUAUAGCGAGCAGUACUGUUUUCUGACCAAGAAACAAUGAAAUGAUGCAAGUUACAUGACAUGAGAUGUUCCUCUCAAAUGAUGUGUUUCCUGCUUGCGGGUUGUGAGGAGGAACUAAGUCCUAUUGUGUUUUUUUUUGGUUCUGUUCUGUCCUUCAGAAACUCCCCCAUUCAGGACAGCAUCUUGUCUUCUCAACUGCACAGCAAGCGGAUGCCCUGCCAUGAUUCUCAUUCACAGAACAGGAAGUCACUAGAAACACUGAGAGCAGAAACAGAUCGGAGUCAUUACAUCUGUAUCGUUUGUGAUAUCCGGAGUAACUGAACGUCUUCUGUGGCAGUCAGUGAACGCAGCAUCUGUCUCUACAGAGUGUUUCCUGUGUGUGUUUGUGAAUGUGAUGUGCUGCGGGCACAUCGUGGUUUUUUUUUUGCGGACAGUUUCACGUUUUUUCUCCCUUCAGAUAUUUAGGGAAUAUUUAUCCUGUUUUGUGUUUUGUUACUUUUUUGAAGUAAUUAUCUUUUUCCUUUGUUGUUCGGUUCUGAUUGGAGCGAGUCGCGCCGCCGCGCUAUAAAUAGCAGCGUGGAGGCGGCGCUCUGGGUCGUCGUCUUCCGGUCUCUCUCUCGCUCGCCCACCCACCUCGUUACACCUGUCGCCAGGUGCGCUCGCCAGCGCGCCAUGGACUCCGGCUCCGACAGGCAGGCAUGUUGCUGCAGGGCAUGCUAGCCCACUAGCCGGCUUUGCGUUCUCUUUUUUGCGUUUUUUCCCUUCUUUUGGAUCGCUGUCUUUUUCCGUCCAGGUGUGACCAGCCGUCCCGUUUUCGCCUUUCUUUUGAUCGGGUUUAGUUGGGUUUUGUCUUUAGUUUGGACGAGGGAUCAGCUUCGAUGGCUGCAUAGCAGCUGGGCUGUGAACUCGUCUUUUUCUUAAGUUUGGCUGGCGCAUCUGGGCCUUCCUUGGUUUGCUACUUUGUUUCUUUUUUGUAAUACAGCUUUGGGGCACGGGUGAUGAGGGUUAUCUUUCCUCCAGAGCCUCGUCAGGUUCCAGCUUCAAGACGCCGACUCUGGAGAAAGUGUUAAAUAAAUGACUGGACCCUCAUCCUGUUUGUCCUGUGUCCUUUAGAAAUGUGUUUGACUCUCCGGGUCAUAACAGUGAAGCAGUAAAUGGAAAGAAACAACUAACUUUCACAGUAUAUUUUACUUAAGACUAUCAGUACACAUCAGUGAUGCAGUGUAAUUCCUGGAAGCUUAAUUGAAACCUUUUAAAAUAACCAAACAACUUUUUUUGUCAAAGAGGUCUGACAUUUUUCUCUAUUUAACUUGAUUUGUGAAAAAGAAACAGUUGGGAUUUCUGAAGUUUCUAAAUGAUGAGUUGUGUGUGUUUUGGCCGCCUCUGCAGCACCGUUUGAAUGUAUGUCAUAAUUCCUGUUCAGUGUUACUGUGUUGUGUUUGGACCAUUGAUGAUGUUCAGGUACAUUAUUUACAACUGAUGGUGUAAACAAAUAGUUUUACUCCAGCCAGUGUUUAUUCACCUUGUUCAAAUGUCACAUGUGCUGAAAAGUUUUUGUUUACGUCACUUUUUGGUUUGAGUUAAACUGUGUCGCAUUUUCACAAUCAGCAUUAUUUCCUGAAAUCUCACUGGGUGGCCAAAAAGUUUCCUCAACUUAUUUUCAUGGGUCAUUCUCUCUUCUCACUUACCUCUGUUCACUUUGUACAUUUGCCUUGUGCAAUUAUUAAAGUGGUAACAGC